AACGAACGCUGGCGGCAGGCCUAACACAUGCAAGUCGAGCGCCCCAGCGAUGGGGAGCGGCGGACGGGUGAGUAACGCGUGGGAACGUGCCUCUUGCUACGGAAUAGCCUCGGGAAACUGGGAGUAAUACCGUAUGUGCCCUACGGGGGAAAGAUUUAUCGGCAAGAGAUCGGCCCGCGUUGGAUUAGGUAGUUGGUGGGGUAAUGGCCUACCAAGCCGACGAUCCAUAGCUGGUUUGAGAGGAUGAUCAGCCACACUGGGGACUGAGACACGGCCCAGACUCCUACGGGAGGCAGCAGUGGGGAAUCUUAGACAAUGGGCGCAAGCCUGAUCUAGCCAUGCCGCGUGAGCGAUGAAGGCCUUAGGGUUGUAAAGCUCUUUCAGUGGGGAAGAUAAUGACUGUACCCACAGAAGAAGCCCCGGCUAACUCCGUGCCAGCAGCCGCGGUAAAGUACAGUGU
rnacentral:rRNA from 1 species